rnacentral:ncRNA from 1 species
AUAAAUUCUAUGAAGAGGAUAGUAACUAAUUAGGAUUCUUAUAGAGAGCGAAGGAUGGUGAAAGCUUCGCAGAAAAGUUUUUAGUGAAGGACACCUUAGAGAAGUUUAUUUGAAAUUUAGUAGGAUAAAUCGGUUGCUACCGUUAAAAGGCUUAAAGAUAAUCUUUUUAUAUAUUAGAUUAAAUAAGGAUGGCACCGUGGGCAAACUCACUUCUGUU